UCUCGGACCACGUGAGUGUGCAGCAAGGACAACGCAGCGGGUCCAGGACACAACUCCAAUGUGGUCCUUCC
rnacentral:snoRNA from 1 species